AUAACUAAAAUGUCCGUUUAAAACAAGGAUUUCAUUUUUCUUCUUUGAUUUCACUCUGAGUGAAUAACGAAACCUAAGAAUUUUUAUGAAAAUGCGGACGAAGGAUGAAGAAGCCAUAGAUUGAAGAUCAAUACAGUCCUAAAAUCAAGGGUAGUAUUUAUGGGAAGGGACGGCGCGUGAUACUUGUAUAUGGAGGUUGGAUGGGAAGGGAUGGUGCAUGAUUUUAGAGUAUUGAACAAGGCAGUGCGAGAUCCAUCAUUCAAUUUUCCGUUACCUCCUCCGGGUAUGGCUUAUAAAACUUAUUAUUAAUUUUCUCUUGCAUUUAGCUACACAUCUUGUUAAAGCAAUACCAAACAACAUAAAUCUGUCAUCUGUGCUUAUUGCUAUGUUUCUUGUAGGAGUCUAUUUUUCAAACUGCUGUUCUUGUUCUGUGUAUGGCUAGAAUAAAAGCCUGAUAAAAUCUGUAUGUAGGUUUAGUAAAAUGACGGAAUAUUGAUUGUGGCUUCUAUGCGUAAUUCAUUGGUUUCUCUGUCUUUCUAUACUC